CUGCGGCUCCGUGACAAAGGUAACCGGCGGGUUCAAGGACCCGGCGGGUCCGGCGCAGCGCUGCCAGUCGCGCACCUCGGAGGCAGCAUGGCGGCGCCCUGAGUCUGCUCACUGGCACAGCAUCGUCCUUAUAACUGCCGUAUGAAGAUACACACUGUGGGUGGGAGGGGUUGCAGUGGAUACAGACGAAGAGAGCUAGCUGUUUGCUCGGCGGGAUUUUUUUGUUAUUCCCCUGAGGGAGGUGUUUCACUCAGGUGUUGGGACAAUGUCACUCAUACGUGUGUUCAGUUCACUCACCAGGCAGGUUUGGUAUAAUCUGCCCAGGUACAGGCUCAGUGGCUCCUUGCCGCAGACGGCACUGCACAGGUGUCUGUCCUCCAUCUCCAGAAUGGGGGUGUCUGCGGCGCUGGUGUCGAUGCCCCGCUGGCUCGGACCCUGUCAGCAGCUGGCGUGUUGGCAGCAGGUGGCUGGGAUGAAGACCAGGACAUCCCUGAAGAGACGCUGUAAGGACUGCUUCUUCGUCCGACGGAGAGGCCGUCU